UUGGGACUCGCUUGUGGGCGUGCACAUGGCAGCAAGUUCGAGGGUGCGUCAAGAAAUCAGCACAGCAAGUUUGUAAGAAGGUCUGGUUAUUAAAUGUGUAAAUAGUUCAAUAGUAAUACGCUCUGGUGACAAACUUUGCUGCCCUGUUUCCAAUUGUUUACAUGGUUGGGAGAACCUAUUCAACAUAAAGUACUCUGCAGCCACUUAGUGUGGACACCAGGUUAUAUCAGCUGUGUCGAUGAACCCCUCCCGCAUCUGAACUGGCUACAUAGAGGGCACAGCAUGUUCAGAGUUAUGUUUAGCUGUGAAAGAGGAUUCCAGCCACCUCACCCGCUCUUAAGAUAACCUUCGGGCCGACUGGGAGUCCAAGGCUGGUUAGGAGACACCACUAGAGACACUUAUGUCAUUUUGAUGAAAUGAAAGAAUAUUAGGGUAGCACUGUGAUUCAUUAAUCAUAUGCUGCCUUCCCUGCUCCAAUGUCCUUACCUCUUUCCCUUUGUCUUUUACACCUCUCUCGCCACGUUUCUUCCUCUGUUUUCAUAAUCCACAACAGAUGUGCAUUGAAGUACAGAUUGAACUUGUAUUUAUAACACUUGGAAAAUUAAGCAUUUCACAUUCUCUACUGGUUGAAAUUAAGUCUCUCAUUUGAUGAAAUACUACAGCUGUCCUGUGUUUAUCAGAUCAAUGCAGAUGAAGGGCAUUAGAUAUUGAGAUGAACCGGUUUGAGUAUUUACAUGAUGCAUAGGAGGUGGUGUACUGUUUUUUUUUUCUACUUCUGUAUAUAUGAAUUAUAAAUCAGCCUUUAACUAGUUAAAUCAUGUUUCUAGUCUAUUGCAUAGUUACAAUGUGUAACCAUUGAUGUCCCAGGACCAAGAUUGGUAAACACUGUUGAAGUGUAUAAUUGUAAUACAUGCAGGCACAGCAUCAUUCAAAGAUUGGAAUUUGAUACACCUGGAAUUGGAAAUGAAUGGAAAAUUCUCAGACAUUCAUACCUGAAUUGCACCAUUAUUUGCCAAGGUUGAGUACAUGAUCAGUGAAUAUACAGGCUACAAUGUGGGGAUCUCAUGCAUGGUAAUGACUACAUGUAUAUACGACUUGCAUCCGUGGCAGAAAGUUAUAUCUAAUCAAAUUUUGCGGGUUGAGAGAGGUGCAGUUGCCAUACCAUGCAGUGAUACAGCCUCACAGGAUGCUCUCGAUUGUGCAUCUGUAAAAGUUUGAGUGUUUUAGGUGACAAGCCAAAUUUCCUCAGCCCCCUCAGCUGUAGUCA